ACUAAGCGUACACGGUGGAUGCCCUGGCAGUCAGAGGCGAUGAAGGACGUGCUAAUCUGCGAUAAGCGUCGGUAAGGUGAUAUGAACCGUUAUAACCGGCGAUUUCCGAAUGGGGAAACCCAGUGUGUUUCGACACACUAUCAUUAACUGAAUCCAUAGGUUAAUGAGGCGAACCGGGGGAACUGAAACAUCUAAGUACCCCGAGGAAAAGAAAUCAACCGAGAUUCCCCCAGUAGCGGCGAGCGAACGGGGAGCAGCCCAGAGCCUGAAUCAGUGUGUGUGUUAGUGGAAGCGUCUGGAAAGGCGCGCGAUACAGGGUGACAGCCCCGUACACAAAAAUGCACAUGCUGUGAGCUCGAUGAGUAGGGCGGGACACGUGGUAUCCUGUCUGAAUAUGGGGGGACCAUCCUCCAAGGCUAAAUACUCCUGACUGACCGAUAGUGAACCAGUACCGUGAGGGAAAGGCGAAAAGAACCCCGGCGAGGGGAGUGAAAAAGAACCUGAAACCGUGUACGUACAAGCAGUGGGAGCACGCUUAGGCGUGUGACUGCGUACCUUUUGUAUAAUGGGUCAGCGACUUAUAUUCUGUAGCAAGGUUAACCGAAUAGGGGAGCCGAAGGGAAACCGAGUCUUAACUGGGCGUUAAGUUGCAGGGUAUAGACCCGAAACCCGGUGAUCUAGCCAUGGGCAGGUUGAAGGUUGGGUAACACUAACUGGAGGACCGAACCGACUAAUGUUGAAAAAUUAGCGGAUGACUUGUGGCUGGGGGUGAAAGGCCAAUCAAACCGGGAGAUAGCUGGUUCUCCCCGAAAGCUAUUUAGGUAGCGCCUCGUGAAUUCAUCUCCGGGGGUAGAGCACUGUUUCGGCAAGGGGGUCAUCCCGACUUACCAACCCGAUGCAAACUGCGAAUACCGGAGAAUGUUAUCACGGGAGACACACGGCGGGUGCUAACGUCCGUCGUGAAGAGGGAAACAACCCAGACCGCCAGCUAAGGUCCCAAAGUCAUGGUUAAGUGGGAAACGAUGUGGGAAGGCCCAGACAGCCAGGAUGUUGGCUUAGAAGCAGCCAUCAUUUAAAGAAAGCGUAAUAGCUCACUGGUCGAGUCGGCCUGCGCGGAAGAUGUAACGGGGCUAAACCAUGCACCGAAGCUGCGGCAGCGACGCUUAUGCGUUGUUGGGUAGGGGAGCGUUCUGUAAGCCUGUGAAGGUGUGCUGUGAGGCAUGCUGGAGGUAUCAGAAGUGCGAAUGCUGACAUAAGUAACGAUAAAGCGGGUGAAAAGCCCGCUCGCCGGAAGACCAAGGGUUCCUGUCCAACGUUAAUCGGGGCAGGGUGAGUCGACCCCUAAGGCGAGGCCGAAAGGCGUAGUCGAUGGGAAACAGGUUAAUAUUCCUGUACUUGGUGUUACUGCGAAGGGGGGACGGAGAAGGCUAUGUUGGCCGGGCGACGGUUGUCCCGGUUUAAGCGUGUAGGCUGGUUUUCCAGGCAAAUCCGGAAAAUCAAGGCUGAGGCGUGAUGACGAGGCACUACGGUGCUGAAGCAACAAAUGCCCUGCUUCCAGGAAAAGCCUCUAAGCAUCAGGUAACAUCAAAUCGUACCCCAAACCGACACAGGUGGUCAGGUAGAGAAUACCAAGGCGCUUGAGAGAACUCGGGUGAAGGAACUAGGCAAAAUGGUGCCGUAACUUCGGGAGAAGGCACGCUGAUAUGUAGGUGARGUCCCUCGCGGAUGGAGCUGAAAUCAGUCGAAGAUACCAGCUGGCUGCAACUGUUUAUUAAAAACACAGCACUGUGCAAACACGAAAGUGGACGUAUACGGUGUGACGCCUGCCCGGUGCCGGAAGGUUAAUUGAUGGGGUUAGCCGCAAGGCGAAGCUCUUGAUCGAAGCCCCGGUAAACGGCGGCCGUAACUAUAACGGUCCUAAGGUAGCGAAAUUCCUUGUCGGGUAAGUUCCGACCUGCACGAAUGGCGUAAUGAUGGCCAGGCUGUCUCCACCCGAGACUCAGUGAAAUUGAACUCGCUGUGAAGAUGCAGUGUACCCGCGGCAAGACGGAAAGACCCCGUGAACCUUUACUAUAGCUUGACACUGAACAUUGAGCCUUGAUGUGUAGGAUAGGUGGGAGGCUUUGAAGUGUGGACGCCAGUCUGCAUGGAGCCGACCUUGAAAUACCACCCUUUAAUGUUUGAUGUUCUAACGUUGACCCGUAAUCCGGGUUGCGGACAGUGUCUGGUGGGUAGUUUGACUGGGGCGGUCUCCUCCUAAAGAGUAACGGAGGAGCACGAAGGUUGGCUAAUCCUGGUCGGACAUCAGGAGGUUAGUGCAAUGGCAUAAGCCAGCUUGACUGCGAGCGUGACGGCGCGAGCAGGUGCGAAAGCAGGUCAUAGUGAUCCGGUGGUUCUGAAUGGAAGGGCCAUCGCUCAACGGAUAAAAGGUACUCCGGGGAUAACAGGCUGAUACCGCCCAAGAGUUCAUAUCGACGGCGGUGUUUGGCACCUCGAUGUCGGCUCAUCACAUCCUGGGGCUGAAGUAGGUCCCAAGGGUAUGGCUGUUCGCCAUUUAAAGUGGUACGCGAGCUGGGUUUAGAACGUCGUGAGACAGUUCGGUCCCUAUCUGCCGUGGGCGCUGGAGAACUGAGGGGGGCUGCUCCUAGUACGAGAGGACCGGAGUGGACGCAUCACUGGUGUUCGGGUUGUCAUGCCAAUGGCACUGCCCGGUAGCUAAAUGCGGAAGAGAUAAGUGCUGAAAGCAUCUAAGCACGAAACUUGCCCCGAGAUGAGUUCUCCCUGACUCCUUGAGAGUCCUGAAGGAACGUUGAAGACGACGACGUUGAUAGGCCGGGUGUGUAAGCGCAGCGAUGCGUUGAGCUAACCGGUACUAAUGAACCGUGAGGCUUAACC
rnacentral:rRNA from 1 species